CCUACGGGUGGCAGCAGUCGAGAAUCAUUCACAAUGGGGGAAACCCUGAUGGAGCGACGCCGCGUGGGGGAAUGAAGGUCUGCGGAUUGUAAACCCCUGUCAUGUGGGAGCAAAUUAAAAAGAUAGUACCACAAGAGGGAGAGACGGCUAACGCGGAGCCAGCAGCCGCGGUAAUCCAGAGGUCUCAAGCGUUGUUCGGAACCACUGGGCGUAAAGCGUGCGUAGGCUGUUGCGUAAGUCGUGUGUGAAAGGCGCGGGCUCAACCCGCGGACGGCACCUGAUACUGCGAGACUAGAGUACUGGAGGGGGAACCGGAAUUCUCGGUGUAGCCGU
rnacentral:rRNA from 1 species